UACGUAGGGUGCAAGCGUUAAUCGGAAUUACUGGGCGUAAAGCGUGCGCAGGCGGUUUUGUAAGCCAGAUGUGAAAUCCCCGGGCUUAACCUGGGAAUGGCAUUUGGGACUGCAAGGCUUGAGUGCGGCAGAGGAGACUGGAAUUCCUGGUGUAGCAGUGAAAUGCGCAGAUAUCAGGAGGAACACCGAUGGCGAAGGCAGCUCGCUGGGACGGUACUGACGCUGAGGCGCGAAAGCGUGGGGAGCAAACAGG
rnacentral:rRNA from 1 species